UGGGGAAUAUUGGACAAUGGGCGCAAGCCUGAUCCAGCCAUGCCGCGUGAGUGAUGAAGGCCCUAGGGUUGUAAGCUCUUUCACCGGUGAAGAUAAUGACGGUAACCGGAGAAGAAGCCCCGGCUAACUUCGUGCCAGCAGCCGCGGUAAUACGAAGGGGGCUAGCGUUGUUCGGAUUUACUGGGCGUAAAGCGCACGUAGGCGGACUUUUAAGUCAGGGGUGAAAUCCCGGGGCUCAACCCCGGAACUGCCUUUGAUACUGGAAGUCUUGAGUAUGGUAGAGGUGAGUGGAAUUCCGAGUGUAGAGGUGAAAUUCGUAGAUAUUCGGAGGAACACCAGUGGCGAAGGCGGCUCACUGGACCAUUACUGACGCUGAGGUGCGAAAGCGUGGGGAGCAAACAGG
rnacentral:rRNA from 1 species